GAUGAACGCUGGCGGCGUGCCUAAUACAUGCAAGUCGAGCGAACGGACGAGAAGCUUGCUUCUCUGAUGUUAGCGGCGGACGGGUGAGUAACACGUGGAUAACCUACCUAUAAGACUGGGAUAACUUCGGGAAACCGGAGCUAAUACCGGAUAAUAUUUUGAACCGCAUGGUUCAAAAGUGAAAGACGGUCUUGCUGUCACUUAUAGAUGGAUCCGCGCUGCAUUAGCUAGUUGGUAAGGUAACGGCUUACCAAGGCAACGAUGCAUAGCCGACCUGAGAGGGUGAUCGGCCACACUGGAACUGAGACACGGUCCAGACUCCUACGGGAGGCAGCAGUAGGGAAUCUUCCGCAAUGGGGGAAAGCCUGACGGAGCAACGCCGCGUGAGUGAUGAAGGUCUUCGGAUCGUAAAACUCUGUUAUUAGGGAAGAACAGAUGUGUAAGUAACUGGGCACAUAUUGACGGUACCUAAACAGAAAGCCACGGCUAACUACGUG
rnacentral:rRNA from 1 species